rnacentral:tRNA from 1 species
GCGACGUUAGCUCAGUUAGGUAGAGCAGCAGACGUGAGUCCGCAGGUCGCCGGUUCGAAUCCGGUACGUCACACCA